AGAGUUUUGGGUAGACUUCGCAAACUGACAAUUAUGCAGGAUUGAACUUUAACCUGGACACAUAGGGCGAAGACAUCAGCAAAUCGACCAAUCAAAACUUAGAAGCAACCAUGCCAAAUUAUGGUUCCACCCUACAAGCUGCAACCCAAUAGAAUGACCUGAAAAGCAUAAGAGUACAGAUGCAAAGCUAAGCAAACUACAUCCAUACUACUUCCUGAAAAGUGGGAACAACGGAAGGGAUAAGGCCCAAUAGAGAAAACAUCAUAUUUCAGGACACACCUAUCUUGCCUGUUCGAUUCAAGGGUAGGGGAAAGAUGAAGGGGAUGGCGCCCGACAGAAGCCGCGGCCGGGG
rnacentral:rRNA from 1 species